rnacentral:miRNA from 1 species
AUAAGUGUGUGCAUGUAUAUGU